AUGUGUGGGCGCACCUACUUCGUGCCACAUGCCCAACAACCCAAGCUCAGACCGAUCUCGACCGCGCGCGCUCCGACGACCGCCCAGCCGCCGCCCAGGAACCAAUCGCCGGCGCGCCGCCCCCUCCAUAAGAAUCGCUCAAGAUCGAUAAAGAUCCACGUGAGGUUGCUAAACAACACGGCCCACGAUCUCGAGGUGGACGGCUCGGACACCAACGGCAGCGUGAAGACGAAGAUCAUGGAAAAGGAGGGAGUCCCACCGCAGCAGCAGCUCCUCUUCUUCGCCGAUGAGGGGCUGGAGGAUGCCCGGACGCUCGCGGACCAUGGCAUCGAGGACGGGGCCUCGGUUUGCCUGAUCGCCAUCAACAUGAUGCAGGUUUUGCUGCAUCGUGUUGUGCAGCUGCAUGACACAGCUAGUCGUUUACAUAUGCAACGAUCUAUGGUUCUGUCAGAGAUUAGUACUAUCAUGAUCUGA
rnacentral:rRNA from 1 species